rnacentral:rRNA from 1 species
CCUACGGGAGGCAGCAGUGGGGGAUAUUGCACAAUGGGGGGAACCCUGAUGCAGCGACGCCGCGUGGGUGAAGAAGCGCCUCGGCGCGUAAAGCCCUUUCAGCAGGGAGGAAAAUGACGGUAACUUAAGAAGAAGCCUCGGCUAACUACGUGCCAGCAGCCGCGGUAAUACGUAGGGGGCAAGCGUUAUCCGGAUUUACUGGGUGUAAAGGGGGCUCAGACGGAGAUGCAAGCCAGAAGGGAAAGCCCGGGGCCAAACCCCGGGACUGCUCUUGAAACUGGGUUGCUGGAGUGCAGGAGGGGCAGGUGGAAUUCCUGGUGUAGGGGUGAAAUGCGUAGAUAUGAGGAGGAACACCGGUGGCGAAGGCGGGCUGCUGGACUGCAACUGACGUUGAGGCCCGAAAGCGUGGGGAGCAAACAGGAUUAGAUACCCUGGUAGUC